UCCCUCUUAGCUCAGUGGUAGAGCGCGUCACUAGUAUGAAAUAGUAUUUCACUGCGAUGACGAGGUCAGUCGUUCAAGUCGGCUAGAGGGAA